AGCCACGUUGCCAUGCCGUGCCCUUUGGCUGGAAGGAAGUGAUAGAAGACACUGCCUGGACAAGUGGAUAAGCCUGCGUCAUGAAGGGGAGACACAGACAUGGAAGGCCACGUGGAGAGGAGGGAAACAGUAUGAAGCGACUUCCAAGCCCUUUCCAUAGCCAGUACUGGAGAAUCUCAUGGAAAUGAAAGAUGUUGAACAUCGUGAGUCAUCAGAGAAAUACAAAUGAAAACCACCGUGAGAAUCUACUUCACACCUGAUAGAAUGGCUUAACCUUCGGAGACUGAAAACACCAAGUUCUAACCAGGAUGGGAAUCAGUCAGGGCUGUCUUGCAUUGCUGGUGGGAAUGCAGCGUGGGACAGCCACUUUGGAAAAGGGACAGAGAACAGAUCAGUGGUUUCCUUGGUGAUGGGGCCCCAGGAAAGGAAUAAACAGCAAAGAGGAACAUGGACGCUUUCUUAGGUAAUGGAAA